GUGGAGGUGUUACUCAAUCCAGCGGAAACCAUGUGGAAGAGUGUGCUCCUUUGCCCUAAAACACUGUGCCACUGUGACACUUUGACUACACUUCUUCAUGCCAUGGACUCACCUCUGUGAUCCUCUCUCUUUCCUCCUGCUUGCCCAGUUUCAGCUCUGGAACAAUUCCUGUUGGCAGCCUCCUUUACACCAGAAUGCUGAAUGUUUUGGGCUAGCUGGCCCACAAGAAGGAGGAGGAUAUGCUGAUGACAGCAUGUUCAGGCCUGUGUAUUCAACCAAUGUGUUAGACUAGGGAUCCAUGCCAGACACAGCACUUGGCCAUGCAAAGUGAUGCUCCCAAACAGGGCAUUGGAGGAGACUCAGCUCAGCAAAGCUGCAGGUAGAGCAGAGCUCGUUG